CUUUCAUGAGCAUGCGAUGGAACGACGCGCACGCCAGAAUCACCAGAAUCGACGUCAGUGAUUGACCGCGCGUAGAGGAACGAGGAUGUCUGUCCGCACAUACGUCGGAUUAAUUACUCCAACGUUACUCGUGGUUGAUGCACCGCAGGACGCAUCUCGAAACCCGCACGCAGACGGCAACCCCGAAGCUCGCACUAGAAACACCCUCGCCAGCACUCCAGAGUACUCGAUCGCACUCACGUCGACGGAUCAUGAUGUUUCCAACGAGCACUGAUUCAAGGUGUAUGCGGACUUUCCAGGCUGGAAGAGGUGAUCAUGCCAGUGGAUCGAGUCGUACUGUCCAGACAUUGCAAUGGAGGAGCACUAGUAGAGAAGUAGAAGUGAUAAACAUGAUGCUUACAAAAUUUCUUAAAUCUAAGUUUUACAAUAGUAUCUUAGGUCUAGUUUUAUAAUAAUGGACUUGUUAUAUAAUGUUGCAAUUAGCCUAUACAUGUUGGUGUGUCUUCCAUGAGAUGAGGGAUUUUGCAGAAGUCGAGAUACAGGACACUUUCGGAUGUCAUAUCGAAGGAUCCCCUCUUAUAUCAAAUGGUGCAUUCCACCCGUCUGCAUCGCGUGUGCGGGCCCUGUCACCAGUGCAUUUGUCACCGUGACUUGUAUCUUCCUAAUGGUUCGUUCAAUGAUGCGCUAACCCCGUCUUCGUUGCAUCCGAGGUGUUCGCACAAGCCGAAGUUAUGCAUUUUCUCGAUGGGCACGUAUAGGCGGACAAAAACUCCAGAGGAAUUCUUCAAUCACGUCAUCAGCGACGGCACUCAGUUAAUGUUUGGACUGGCAGUAUUGGUAAUUGCUUAGUAGGAGCUCGUGCACUUGUGUCCAGUAUGUUUUGGAAUAAAUACUUCGAAACUUGGAAUUGCGUUGCGUUUCUUAACGUUAAAUUCGAACGUGCGUUCUAACCGCUGGAGCAUGAUGAUCAAUAACUUUUUUUGUAUCGUACCGACCAUUCGUCACUCGUUGUCUCCUCGAAGCGAGUUCCGAUUCAUUAUAUUUAUUACGCAGUUUUUCGCUCUCGCGAAAAUCCUGGCCGUUUUGUCGCCCGUUAUCUACACGCUUGACAAAUAGUCCGUGUAUACAGCACAAAAACAUUCAAAAGUUUUGUAACGCGGACAUUGUAAAUACCGCUCGCUUUUGUUCUCGUGCCGUUAGCACAAAUAAA